AGCAGCCGCCGCGGGAAUACGUAGGUGGCGAGCGUUGUCCGGAAUUAUUGGGCGUAAAGGGAGCGCAGGCGGACAUAUAAGUCCAUCUUAAAAGUGCGGGGCUCAACCCCGUGAGGGGAUGGAAACUGUAUGCCUUGAGUGCAGGAGAGGAAAGCGGAAUUCCCAGUGUAGCGGUGAAAUGCGUAGAUAUUGGGAGGAACACCAGUGGCGAAGGCGGCUUUCUGGACUGCAACUGACGCUGAGGCUCGAAAGCCAGGGGAGCGAACGGGAUUAGAUACCCGUGUAGUCCCUGUCUCUUAUACA
rnacentral:rRNA from 1 species